rnacentral:rRNA from 1 species
UGGAUCCAGCUUUGAUUAUGGCUCAGGACGAACGCUGGCGGCGUGCUUAACACAUGCAAGUCGAACGAAGCUUGAUUUAUGAUUUCUUCGGAAUGAAUAAUGAUAUGACUGAGUGGCGGACGGGUGAGUAACGCGUGAGCAACCUGCCCUUCGGAGGGGGAUAGCGUCUGGAAACGGACGGUAAUACCGCAUAAAGUGUCUUGACCGCAUGAUCGAGAUACCAAAACUGAGGUGCCGAAGGAUGGGCUCGCGUUGGAUUAGAUAGUUGGUGGGGUAACGGCCUACCAAGUCGACGAUCCAUAGCCGGACUGAGAGGUUGAACGGCCACAUUGGGACUGAGACGCGGCCCAGACUCCUACGGGAGGCAGCAGUGGGGAAUAUUGCACAAUGGGGGAAACCCUGAUGCAGCAACGCCGCGUGAAGGAAGACGGUUUUCGGAUUGUAAACUUCUGUUCUUAGUGAAGAAUAAUGACGGUAGCUAAGGAGCAAGCCACGGCUAACUACGUGCCAGCAGCCGCGGUAAUACGUAGGUGGCAAGCGUUGUCCGGAAUUACUGGGUGUAAAGGGAGCGCAGGCGGGAAGCCAAGUCAGCUGUGAAAACUACAGGCUUAACUUGUAGACUGCAGUUGAAACUGGUUUUCUUGAGUGAAGUAGAGGUUGGCGGAAUUCCGAGUGUAGCGGUGAAAUGCGUAGAUAUUCGGAGGAACACCGGUGGCGAAGGCGGCCAACUGGGCUUUAACUGACGCUGAGGCUCGAAAGUGUGGGGAGCAAACAGGAUUAGAUACCCUGGUAGUCCACACUGUAAACGAUGAUUGCUAGGUGUGGGGGGUCUGACCCCUUCCGUGCCGCAGCUAACGCAAUAAGCAAUCCACCUGGGGAGUACGACCGCAAGGUUGCAACUCAAAUGAAUUGACGGA